rnacentral:ribozyme from 13 species
UGUGCGUUUAAUUAAUAAAGCUGAAACGUGAAAGUGAAUUUUAUGAGUGUUCAACAAUAAGGAUGAUACGAAACAAACCCAAAAAAAAAAAAAGUUGACUUGCAACCCCUUGGUCAUUUUUUGUCA